UCGACCUCUGGUUCGACCCCACCGCCGACUUCCACACCUACGCCGUGCUCUGGAACCCCAGCCAGGUCGUCUUCCUCGUCGACGACACCCCCAUCCGCGUCUACGACAACAAGAACGCCUCCGCCACCAAGCUCAAGGGCCACCACCGCCACCCCAACAACGCCACCAACACCACCGCCACCCAGGCCCAGACGGCGUCCGCGUUCCCGUCGCCGCAGCCCAUGGCCGUGUACAGCUCCAUCUGGAACGCGGACGACUGGGCCACGCGCGGCGGGCUGGUCAAGACGGACUGGUCGCACGCGCCGUUCGUGGCCACCUUCCGGGACGUGCGGGUGGAGGGCUGUGCCUGGGCCGCCAACGCCUCCGACUCGGACGCCGGCGAGGUGGCGCGCUGCAGCGGCAGCUCGUGGGGAAAGGAGGGCCGGUACUGGUGGAAGGAGAAGGACAUGCAGGAGCUGUCCGUGCACCAGAGCCACCAGCUGAUCUGGGCGCGCGCGCACCACCUCGUCUACGACUACUGCGUCGACACGGACCGCUUCCCCGUCCAGCCGCCCGAGUGCGCCGGCCGCUGAUCCGCCGCGUCGUCGCCGGCCGCCUCCAUGGGAAUCUUUAUUUAGUACUCCGUAGAAUGGAUCCAUGACAUCGAUGGAUCGUCGCAGCUGCUCGUUUCAGUUUCGAUUUUAGGUCCGCACGUCUCUCCGAUGAACUUCGACCGUGUUUGUUGUCUCUGCCUUGCAGUUCCCUUGUUAUGUGGAGGUGUCUUUUGUAUAAAUUCGUCCGUGGAAAUGAUGCUCUUUUCUCUGUCCCUCAAUGCAAAACCUGUUCGUCCGUGGAUUUUCUUUGACAUCCGUUCCAUCAUCGAGCGCA
rnacentral:lncRNA from 1 species